rnacentral:tRNA from 1 species
GAGGGUAUAGCUUAGUGGUAGAGCGUGUGCUUAGCAUGCACAAGGUCCUGGGUUCAAUCCCCAGUACCUCCA